UGUGAAACUCAAAGGAAUUGACGGGGGCCCGCACAAGCGGUGGAGUAUGUGGUUUAAUUCGAAGCAACGCGAAGAACCUUACCAGGCCUUGACAUGGAUAUAAAUGUUCUAGAGAUAGAAAGAUAGCUAUAUAUCACACAGGUGGUGCAUGGUUGUCGUCAGCUCGUGUCGUGAGAUGUUGGGUUAAGUCCCGCAACGAGCGCAACCCUUGUCUUCUGUUACCAGCAUUAAGUUGGGGACUCAGGAGAGACUGCCGGUGACAAACCGGAGGAAGGUGGGGAUGACGUCAAAUCAUCAUGCCCCUUAUGGCCUGGGCUACACACGUACUACAAUGGCGCCUACAAAGAGCAGCGACACCGCGAGGUGGAGCGAAUCUCAUAAAGGGCGUCUCAGUUCGGAUUGAAGUCUGCAACUCGACUUCAUGAAGUCGGAAUCGCUAGUAAUCGCAGAUCAGCAUGCUGCGGUGAAUACGUUCUCGGGCCUUGUACACACCGCCCGUC
rnacentral:rRNA from 1 species